AACGCACAUUGCGCCCGGCAGUAAUCUGCCGGGCAUGCCUGUCCGAGCGUCAUUUCAACCCUCGAGCCUAAGUUUUUUAAACUGAAGGAUCGGUGUUGGGGCGCUACGGCGGUUCUCCGGGACCGCUGUAGGCUCUGAAAUACAGUGGCGGUCCCGCCGCGGCGCCUUCUGCGUAGUAAACUAAAAACUCGCAUUGGGUCCCGGCGAAGGCCAGCCGUCAAACCCUCUAUUCUUAUGGUUUGACCUCGGAUCAGGUAGGGUUACCCGCUGAACUUAA
rnacentral:misc_RNA from 1 species